ACACUCACACUCACACUCACACUCACACACACACACACACAUAUACACGGUUGUUGGGAUCCCAGCAGCCAGUUUUUCAGGGCGCGGAUAUAACCAUCCUUUCCAUACUAAAAAAGUACGGAGAAAUUAAAAAAAAUAAGUGGAAGCCACAAGUAGUGACAAGGAGGAAGUGUUGUAAGUGGUGCUAGCGCUAAAUAAAGUAACGUAGGAGCGUUAGCAAGACGGGGGGAAAGAAGAAGGAUAAGAUGAUGCUCAGUGGACAAGAUGAUUGUAAAUAAAAGUUGAGGAAGCAGGAAGGAGUUGCCUUCAUUUUUAAAAUACUGACCAUUUACACAACUUCUCCCAUCAUAAAGCUAAACUGACUCCCAGUCUGAAUAUCGUUUCAAAAUGUUGUGUUCAAUAUGGUCGUGAUUUAAAAGCACUUUUGUUCUGAUGUAGAUUGUUUUUGAAUGAUAAUGUAGAGUAAUAUGCUUGGUGUCCAAACCAACAAAGAAAUCUUUACUCAUACUGUAUCUUAACCAUAAACGUUGCCAAAGCUCAUGCGUCAUGUAUACAUUUUGAGUUUUACCAUGCCAAGUAAUUCAUUCAUUCAUUGUGUACUUAGCACUUUAUUUCCUAUUGGAGCUGAUAUGCAAUGCCAUAUUUAACUCUCAUGUGUCUAGAUUCCAUUUAAAACUUUAAUACAUUAUUGAAACAUCCUAGUAAGUAUUAUCAAGUUGUUAAAGCCACAGCUAGCAGUCAUGUGUGUACUUUUGUCUGCUCUUUGGUAGUUUUCAACUUUCCUGUUUUUUGUCUUAUUUUGAUUAACAUACAGUACAUACUUCCUGUGUCCAUUGGACAGAUCUCAGGGAACCCACCCUUUCCCCCCAACCUGGGAAGAAAACCAAAACUGGGGGAAAAAUAGGUGUUUUUUUUUUUUUUUUAAUAAUCUAAAGGAACUUAUAUAUUUUGUGGUUAAAUCAUGCCAGACUUAGACUUCAUUUUACUUCUCUCAGCCCAAAAACUGUGGACUUAUGUGAAGGAGCCCUGUUUUCUUAGGUACUGACUGAGUGUCUUCUCCAAUUACAUCCCACCAGCAUAAAGCAAAAUGCUAACCAAAUGAUUUUAUUUUGAAACAUCUCAACGUUUUCCUGCACAAUACGUUGCAUAAGAUAUCACACAUUCCAGGCUCUCAAGAAAAAGAAGGAAAAAAAAGACCAUCUGCGUGUGUGUAUAUUUCUGUAUAUAUUGGUGCUUUGUGGUGUAUAUAUUUUGCUUUUAAUGAUCAGUAUUGUUUAUGUGCUGCAGUGGCAUAUGCAUUAGGUCAAGCACUGGUGUUGCAAACCCAAAAAGUUUUACAUUUUUUUCAAUCUAACUGAAGCAUUUCAGUCAAAGCUAUACAUGUAUUUAAUAUACAGUUUUGUUCCACAACAGGAAGCUCAGCAGUUGCCAGUUAAAACCUCCACUGGCCUUCUUAUUCCUGGUCGGUGGACAGUGUGCAACAAGAUAGCGCCAAAGCCCACCUUCUUGUCUUUGCUCUGUUUCAUUUAAUGCAUUUUGUUUUAAAAUGGUGUUACAAAUUUGUCUUUGAAAACAUUUCAUCUUUGUAUCUCAUAUCUGUUUUUUUGCAGAUGUAGCACUUCUCCUGCUUUUGCACUUGACAAAGUCGAAUAAAGAGUUUGACAGCUGAACUGUGCAUAAUGAAAUGGUUUGUGGUGUUGAACACUAAGUAAGGGAUAGUGUAGAGAGAGCAGGU